AAAUUUGUCGGCACUCCUGUCCGGACGAAAUAUUUGAAUUAUCGGCUAGAAACUAAUAGAUUUAAGCAGACAAAUAAAUAGUAGUAGGUUUAGCCGAAGAAAUAUCUAUUAGUUGAUCGAGAAUAUCGUCGGUACAUUUUAUUAAAAAAGGCGGGAUGUUUCCCUCUCUUAAAAGUUAAUGUUUUUCAAGUGCUGGGAAAACGAAAAAAAAAAAGAUAAAACUGUUGGUUUUUAGAGCUUAUCAACUAUCGCAACCUAGUGAAAAAAAUUUAAUCUAAACAAGGAAAAAUAACAAUGUUGCCGCACCCUGGAUUUGGAUCCCAUUGCUAUCUCCCUUCUUAGUUGCUCUUCUUGGAUUGACCAUCCUAGCAGUGAUUCUCGUCUACCACCAUGUCAGCUGCUCUCCGUUGCUGGUGCAGUUUCGCUAUCGGUUCUUUGUACGAUUCUCUCUAUCGAUUUUAAAGAUUUUGGUUGUGGUUUGGGUUCUUAUUUUGUUUUACAUAGAUGGGGCUUGACUGUGGUUUAAGUUUUGUUUGAUAUAUUCCCUGCACAUUGCAAAAUUAUGGUACUAUUUUGGGGGUUUUGGUGUGCAAGUCCUUUGAUUGGCUUAUAUGUGGUUUUAUUAAACUAAAAUAGGUGCAAGUCCAGUGUUCUUCUUUCGAAAGAUUUUUAAUAGCUUGGUUUGACAAGUGCAAGUCCAUAUUAACUUAGUCUUGUCUUCAUCAAAAUUAUAAUAAUAAUACUAUUAAAUUAGUCUUGUUAUUUUUAUUCCAGGUGUGUGUGCUUCAAGUUAAUAUAGUUGCACUUGCUUAUGAGGCUAGUGAUGAUGAAUUUUAUCUCAAGUAUAUCGUAUAAAUUAUCCCUCUAUUACAUUUUCUUAUGAGUUGCUAACUUAUGUUACUCUCCCAUUCAGUUGAUGCCAAGAAUAUAUUGUAUAUUUUGUCCCUCAAUUGUGAAUUGUGAAGAACACACUGAGUAAGGAGAUUUGUACAGGAUAUUACUGCGAUGCUAUUGCUAAACCGAUACUGAGGAAUGAGAGUAGGAUAGGAUUAUUGUAUAAUAUAAUACUUUGUAUAACCACUGUACAUAUACAUAUUACUAAUCAAAGUAGCAUUAUUAGAAUU